GGAAACCCAGCAUGAGUUAUGUCAUGUUAUCGAUAUGUGAAUACAUAGCAUAUCAGAAGGCACAGGCGGACGGGUGAGUAACACGUGGAUAACCUACCUAUAAGACUGGGAUAACUUCGGGAAACCGGAGCUAAUACCGGAUAAUAUUUUGAACCGCAUGGUUCAAAAGUGAAAGACGGUCUUGCUGUCACUUAUAGAUGGAUCCGCGCUGCAUUAGCUAGUUGGUAAGGUAACGGCUUACCAAGGCAACGAUGCAUAGCCGACCUGAGAGGGUGAUCGGCCACACUGGAACUGAGACACGGUCCAGACUCCUACGGGAGGCAGCAGUAGGGAAUCUUCCGCAAUGGGCGAAAGCCUGACGGAGCAACGCCGCGUGAGUGAUGAAGGUCUUCGGAUCGUAAAACUCUGUUAUUAGGGAAGAACAUAUGUGUAAGUAACUGUGCACAUCUUGACGGUACCUAAUCAGAAAGCCACGGCUAACUACGUGCCAGCAGCCGCGGUAAUACGUAGGUGGCAAGCGUUAUCCGGAAUUAUUGGGCGUAAAGCGCGCGUAGGCGGUUUUUUAAGUCUGAUGUGAAAGCCCACGGCUCAACCGUGGAGGGUCAUUGGAAACUGGAAAACUUGAGUGCAGAAGAGGAAAGUGGAAUUCCAUGUGUAGCGGUGAAAUGCGCAGAGAUAUGGAGGAACACCAGUGGCGAAGGCGACUUUCUGGUCUGUAACUGACGCUGAUGUGCGAAAGCGUGGGGAUCAAACAGGAUUAGAUACCCUGGUAGUCCACGCCGUAAACGAUGAGUGCUAAGUGUUAGGGGGUUUCCGCCCCUUAGUGCUGCAGCUAACGCAUUAAGCACUCCGCCUGGGGAGUACGACCGCAAGGUUGAAACUCAAAGGAAUUGACGGGGACCCGCACAAGCGGUGGAGCAUGUGGUUUAAUUCGAAGCAACGCGAAGAACCUUACCAAAUCUUGACAUCCUUUGACAACUCUAGAGAUAGAGCUUUCCCCUUCGGGGGACAAAGUGACAGGUGGUGCAUGGUUGUCGUCAGCUCGUGUCGUGAGAUGUUGGGUUAAGUCCCGCAACGAGCGCACAACCCUUAAGCUUAGUUGCCAUCAUUAAGUUGGGCACUCUAAGUUGACUGCCGGUGACAAACCGGAGGAAGGUGGGGAUGACGUCAAAUCAUCAUGCCCCUUAUGAUUUGGGCUACACACGUGCUACAAUGGACAAUACAAAGGGCAGCGAAACCGCGAGGUCAAGCAAAUCCCAUAAAGUUGUUCUCAGUUCGGAUUGUAGUCUGCAACUCGACUACAUGAAGCUGGAAUCGCUAGUAAUCGUAGAUCAGCAUGCUACGGUGAAUACGUUCCCGGGUCUUGUACACACCGCCCGUCACACCACGAGAGUUUGUAACACCCGAAGCCGGUGGAGUAACCUUUUAGGAGCUAGCCGUCGAAGGUGGGACAAAUGAUUGGGGUGAAGUCGUAACAAGGUAGCCGUAUCGGAAGGUGCGGCUGGAUCACCU
rnacentral:rRNA from 1 species